UAAAGCUAGCAAGUGAACUUAUUUCAAUAACCCAAUGUGGCCAGGAGAAGCACACUCAAUGAAAGUAGAGAAGAUUUUGUACAAGGAUAAAUCAGAGUACCAAGAAAUCCUGGUUUUUGAGUCCUCAACAUAUGGGAAAGUUCUUGUGCUUGAUGGCAUUGUUCAGUUGACUGAGAAAGAUGAAUUUGUCUAUCAGGAGAUGAUAACUCAUCUUCUCCUUUGUU